UGUACACACCGCCCGUCGCUACUACCGAUUGAAUGGCUCAGUGAGGCCUUCGGACUGGCUCGGGGAGGUUGGCAACGACCACCCCGAGCCGGAAAGUUGGUCAAACUCGGUCAUUUAGAGGAAGUAAAAGUCGUAACAAGGUUUCCGUAGGUGAACCUGCGGAAGGAUCAUUA
rnacentral:rRNA from 1 species